GAUGAACGCUAGCGGCAGGCUUAAUACAUGCAAGUCGAGGGGCAGCACGGUUAGCAAUAACUGGUGGCGACCGGCGCACGGGUGCGUAACACGUAUACAAUCUACCUUAAACAGGGGGAUAGCCUUUCGAAAGAGAGAUUAAUACCCCGUAAUAAAUUGAACGGCAUCGUUUGAUUUUGAAAGCUCCGGCGGUUUGAGAUGAGUAUGCGUCUGAUUAGCUAGUUGGUGAGGCAACGGCUCACCAAGGCGACGAUCAGUAGGGGAUCUGAGAGGACUAACCCCCACACUGGUACUGAGACACGGACCAGACUCCUACGGGAGGCAGCAGUAAGGAAUAUUGGUCAAUGGAGGCAACUCUGAACCAGCCAUGCCGCGUGCAGGAUGACGGCCCUAUGGGUUGUAAACUGCUUUUAUACAAGAGAAAACCCUGGUACGUGUACCAGGUUGAUAGUAUUGUAAGAAUAAGCAUCGGCUAACUUCGUGCCAGCAGCCGCGGUAAU
rnacentral:rRNA from 1 species